UCAUUUAAUUAGAAUAGAAAAUGGUCAAGAUCCCAACCGUAAUAAAAUAUCCUACCUUUUCAAAAAAUUAAAAAAAGAAUAUGCUCCCUAAAUAGUGCUAUGUGGAAAACAAAAACUACAUCUCCCUAUUAAAAUCUCUAAACCUCCGCCCCAUUAAGCAGAGAAAUGGGAUCUUCCCUUGUUUUUCUCUUAAAUAACAAUUUUGUUCUUCAUUUUCCUUAAAUUACUUGUACAUUUCCCACUCCAUUUUUCCUAAUAUCCCGUAUUCCUAGGAAAAUGAAUCUCUGCAAAUUUUCCAAUCUGAGAUUAUUUUGCUUGUGUUUCAAAAAAAUUACAGGUUUUGUUUUUACCGGUGAUUUAGAACUUCUUCCUUCAGGAUUAAUUAGUGUGCAAAUUAAUUGAAAUUUUUGUGGAUUGAAGAUGGAGAUUGAAAGACUUACUGUUUUUCUUUAAUAAACUUUAUUGGUAAAUUUGUUUGGAAAUGUUUGGAAAAUUAUUCGCAGGCCAUUGGUGAUUCAUAGGAAUUUAUGUAUUUUGUUUCCCAUUUCAUUAUCUAUUCCAAUGUAAGUACUCGUCAUAUUAGGUUUUUUUUAUUUAUGCUUUAGAUCUUUUGUUGGAUUUGGUGCCUCAAUAUCAAGGUAAUUUGAUCGAUUACGUAUUUUAUAUAAUUUGAUCACAUUGUCGUUCUAUUUGUCGAUGUUGAUUUGUUGGUUCAUGCGAACUGUCGUGUAAACAAGAUGACCAACUCUGUUUUCUCCGAGAAGAGAUUAGUCUUCCUUCAUCAUCAUGAUUUGAAAACUCCAAGUACAUCAGGCAUUGAAGAACGCGACUCAAUAUUUUGCUUGAUUUAGUUAUUCUAGCUUGUUAUUUAUUUAUUUAUUUAUUAUUUAGUAAGUGUACGCAAAUUUAUUCAUAAUUUGAUAUGAUUUUGCUAAUGAAUGAACAAUAGUAUUUUGUUAUUAAAUAAAAUAUUUUUUAGAAA